AGAGUUUGAUCAUGGCUCAGGAUAAACGCUGGCGGCGCACAUAAGACAUGCAAGUCGAACGGAAGUCGUUAUAAAAAGGAUUGAAGAUUUAUCUGAUUGAGAUUUUAUAACAAUGGCUUUAGUGGCGGACUGGUGAGUAACGCGUGAGCAACCUGCCUACUAGAGGGGAAUAACAGUGAGAAAUCAUUGCUAAUACCGCAUAUGCCAUGAACAUCACAUGAUGAAAAUGGGAAAAGAGUGAUCUGCUAGUAGAUGGGCUCGCGUCUGAUUAGAUAGUUGGUGGGGUAACGGCCUACCAAGUCGACGAUCAGUAGCCGGACUGAGAGGUUGAACGGCCACAUUGGGACUGAGAUACGGCCCAGACUCCUACGGGAGGCAGCAGUCGGGAAUAUUGCGCAAUGGAGGAAACUCUGACGCAGUGACGCCGCGUAUAGGAAGAAGGUUUUCGGAUUGUAAACUAUUGUCGUUAGGGAAGAUACAAGACAGUACCUAAGGAGGAAGCUCCGGCUAACUACGUGCCAGCAGCCGCGGUAAUACGUAGGGAGCAAGCGUUAUCCGGAUUUUUGGGUGUAAAGGGUGC
rnacentral:rRNA from 1 species